CCUACGGGCGGCAGCAGUGAGGAAUAUUGGUCAAUGGUCGAGAGGCUGAACCAGCCAAGUCGCGUGAGGGAAGACGGCCCUACGGGUUGUAAACCUCUUUUGUCGGGGAGCAAAACGCGUCACGUGUGACUUUUUGUAUGUACCCCAUGAAUAAGCACCGGCUAAUUCCGUGCCAGCAGCCGCGGUAAUACGGAGGAUCCGAGCGUUAUCCGGAUUUAUUGGGUUUAAAGGGUGCGCAGGCGGAGGUGCAAGUCAGCGGUAAAAUUGCGGGGCUCAACCCUGUACUGCCGUGGAAACUGCAGGGCUUGAGUGCGCGGAAAGUAUGCGGAAUGCGUGGUGUAGCGAUGAAAUGCAUAGAUAUCACGAAGAACUCCGAUUGCGAAGGCAGCAUACGGGAGCGCAACUGACGCUCAUGCACGAAGGCGUGGGUAUCGAACAGGAUUAGAUACCCGAGUAGUC
rnacentral:rRNA from 1 species